rnacentral:lncRNA from 1 species
UCCUCCUACAGUCUCCCUUCAAUAUUAAUUUAUUGUAGCUUACGUAGCACUGAUAUGUGUAGCUAUAUACAUUUGCUGAAGUCUCAGCAGCAUACGUGUGUGGAAAAGUGGGGAUACGGUGAUGUCUCUCUCAGUCUUACUCUAUGCUACAAAUCAACAACUGUCCAAGGGGAGAUGCUAUGUGACCACAAACAUGAGUGCAUAGCAUUGAGAAAGCAGCAGCCAGUUUCUGAGUGCUUGUGCCAUGUGAAUACCUUAUAUAUUCUGUGAGGCUCAAAUCACACUUGUCUAUGGCCUGGGACCUCAGUGAGCCCAUCAGGCCAUGUAGGAGGACAGCAUCAGUUUUGUGCCAAUGGCACAUUCGUGGCACCUGGACAUGCCACAGGGAUCCCUGCGUGGAGAUAAGUUAGAUUUCACCUGUAUCUGGUAAUUGAGUUUGAGGGUUUCUUUUACCAGGCACCUUUAAUCUCACUACUGCCCUCCAGAAAACUGCAGCAACAGUGGAACAACCAGAUGCCUGUAGUUAUGGGGAAAUCUGGAUCUUGAAAUGCCACUGCUAGAUGUCCCUCAGCUCCAGAUGACAGUGCAGAGCUGCCCCUGUGGCCCACUGGCCUCCUCCAGCCCACAGGCUGCACCAGCAGCCCGCAGCACAAGCGAGGACACCCAGGGAUGCUGCCCCAUCCCAAUGGCUUCCAAAGCAUGGUUUGAGUGUUACAGUCACACCACCGCUUGCUGAGCAGACUGUAUAGGUGUUAGCACUUGGCUGAGGAGAAGGGGCCCAUUCAGGCCUGGUUGUGGCCUGCCUCCUCCACCCUGGGGCCAGCCACCAAGGUGGGUUUGCACUGACCCAGCUGGCGGCAGAUCGGGGGAUCUCCUGUGACACCUUCAUGAAGAAGCACAGGCUCAGCUGGUGUGAGGUGAAGCAGUCAGCAAAGGAGCAGUGCCUGCUCUGCGUGAAUCACCCUCACCUUUCGGAGGAGGAACCCGUCCAUCCCCCACAUCCUGCCUGUGACAUGAGGUGUUCAUCCAGGAUUUCCCAUCCAAGGAGUGCUCCUUCCCCUUCCUACUGUUUGGUUUUCAUCCUCAGGCUGAGGAGUUUGCCCUAGUUUCAAAGGAGUAGCAGAACAGAAGUGUAGGUUCCCUCCAUGCAGCGGAGACUCUCCAGAAGGUUCAUAAACCUUUCCCUGCACUGGCCAGAGCUCCAGCUUUGAACCAAAGAGCCAGAAAACAACUUGUCUGCUUUCUUGUUUCAUAAAAAGAUUCUACACAGUCCUAGUGCUGGCAUUGCAGCACGGACCUUUUGAAGCGGCUUCUGGGCAUGUGUUUUCUGUUUAUUUUCUAAUAAAAGAGAAUCAUAUGCACUGAGUUUUCUAAGA